UACGUAGGGUGCAAGCGUUGCCCGGAUUUAUUGGGCGUAAAGGGCGCGUAGGCGGCUCUGCACGUCCGUUGGGAAAUCGCCCGGCUCAACUGGGCGGGGUCAGCGGAUACGGCAGAGCUUGAGCAAGCUAGGGGGCAAUGGAAUUCCCGGUGUAGUGGUGGAAUGCGUAGAUAUCGGGAGGAACACCAGUGGCGAAGGCGGUUGCCUGGGGCUUUGCUGACGCUGAUGCGCGAAAGCGUGGGGAGCGAUCCGG
rnacentral:rRNA from 1 species